rnacentral:rRNA from 1 species
CCUACGGGGAGCUGCAGUGAGGAAUAUUGGUCAAUGGCCGUAAGGCUGAACCAGCCAAGUCGCGUGAAGGAAGAAGGAUCUAUGGUUUGUAAACUUCUUUUAUAGGGGAAUAAAGGUAUCCACGUGUGGCUAUUUGCAUGUACCCUAUGAAUAAGCAUCGGCUAACUCCGUGCCAGCAGCCGCGGUAAUACGGAGGAUGCGAGCGUUAUCCGGAUUUAUUGGGUUUAAAGGGUGCGUAGGUUGUUUUUUAAGUCAGCGGUGAAAGUUUGUGGCUCAACCAUAAAAUUGCCGUUGAAACUGGAAGACUUGAGUGUGUUUGAGGUAGGCGGAAUGCGUGGUGUAGCGGUGAAAUGCAUAGAUAUCACGCAGAACUCCGAUUGCGAAGGCAGCUUACUAAGCCAUAACUGACACUGAAGCACGAAAGCGUGGGGAUCAAACAGGAUUAGAUACCCCAGUAGUC